GGAAAGGCCGGGCACGCGGUCGCGGGAAAACGUGGGUGGGUGGGGUUGCCCGGGUUAACGGGGCGGAAAGCGGGUGUAGGGGGUUCUUGAAGUCUGAUGUGAAAGCCAGCGGCCCAACCGCUGAAUUGCAUCCGAUACUGGGGAACUUGAGGACGGUAGAGGUCGGGGGAAUUCCAGGUGUACCGGUGAAAUGGACAGAUAUCUGGAGGAACACCAGUGGCGAAGGCGGCCGACUGGGCCGAUCCUGACGCUGAGACCCGAAAGCCAGGGUAGCGAACCGGAUUAGAUACCCGAGUAGUC
rnacentral:rRNA from 1 species